UCCGUGUUGUCUUGUGUACAAUUACAUUUGUCUAUUUGUCUUUUUCUUUUUUAGCCAUGUCGUUGUCAGUUUAUUUUCGAUCUAUGAGUUUGAAUGUCCCUCUGGUAUCUUUCGCCGCUCUUUUAGAACAAGAUUAAAAAUAAUAACAUAAAUAAGAAAGCUUAUCUAAUAUAGAUGAAGGUCGAUAUUUUCUACAAUUAAAC
rnacentral:lncRNA from 1 species